rfam:Ipomoea nil DNA, scaffold: scaffold3394, cultivar: Tokyo-kokei standard.
AUUUGAUGGUGUGGGCAACUUGCACAUAGUUUUUUGAAACGCUCCCAAUAUUCAUACAAGGACUCUCCAUUGUUUUGCCCUAUACCACAGAUUUCCUUUCUAAUGUU